UACGGAGGAUGCAAGCGUUAUCCGGAAUUAUUGGCGUAAAGCGUCCGCAGGUGGCACUUCAAGUCUGUCGUCAAAGACCGGGGCUUAACCCUGGAAAGGCGAUGGAAACUGAAAGGCUAGAGAGAGGUAGGGGUAGAGGGAAUUCCCAGUGUAGCGGUGAAAUGCGUAGAGAUUGGGAAGAACAUCGGUGGCGAAAGCGCUCUACUGGACCUCAUCUGACACUCAGGGACGAAAGCUAGGGGAGCGAAUGGG
rnacentral:rRNA from 1 species